rnacentral:tRNA from 1 species
GGGCCUCUAGCUCAGCGGCAGAGCGGCCGGCUCAUAACCGGUUGGUCCUUGGUUCGAACCCGAGGAGGCCCA